rnacentral:rRNA from 1 species
CGCUAUCACUCCUACGGGAGGCAGCAGUAGGGAAUCUUCCACAAUGGGCGCAAGCCUGAUGGAGCAACACCGCGUGAGUGAAGAAGGGUUUCGGCUCGUAAAGCUCUGUUGUUAAAGAAGAACACGUAUGAGAGUAACUGUUCAUACGUUGACGGUAUUUAACCAGAAAGUCACGGCUAACUACGUGCCAGCAGCCGCGGUAAUACGUAGGUGGCAAGCGUUAUCCGGAUUUAUUGGGCGUAAAGAGAGUGCAGGCGGUUUUCUAAGUCUGAUGUGAAAGCCUUCGGCUUAACCCGGAGAAGUGCAUCGGAAACUGGAUAACUUGAGUGCAGAAGAGGGUAGUGGAACUCUAUGUGUAGCGGUGGAAUGCGUAGAUGUAUGGAAGAACACCAGUGGCGAAGGCGGCUACCUGGUCUGCAACUGACGCUGAGACUCGAAAGCAUGGGUAGCGAACAGGAUUAGAUACCCUGGUAG